CACGCCGUAAACGAUGAGCACUAGAUGUAGCGGAAGUUUUCUGCUGUGCCGCAGCUAACGCAAUAAGUGCUCCGCCUGGGGACUACGCACGCAAGUGUAAAACUCAAAGGAAUUGACGGGGGCCCGCACAAGCGGUGGAGUAUGUGGUUUAAUUCGAUGCAACGCGAAAAACCUUACCAGGGCUUGACAUGUUGGUGGUAGGAAACCGAAAGGGGACCGACCCGCAAGGGAGCCUUCACAGGUGC
rnacentral:rRNA from 1 species